UACGGAGGGAGCUAGCGUUGUUCGGAAUUACUGGGCGUAAAGCGCACGUAGGCGGCUUUUUAAGUCAGGGGUGAAAUCCCGGAGCUCAACUCCGGAACUGCCCUUGAAACUGCAGUGCUAGAAUCUUGGAGAGGCGAGUGGAAUUCCGAGUGUAGAGGUGAAAUUCGUAGAUAUUCGGAAGAACACCAGUGGCGAAGGCGACUCGCUGGACAAGUAUUGACGCUGAGGUGCGAAAGCGUGGGGAGCAAACAGG
rnacentral:rRNA from 1 species